GUUUCUUCUCUAGCUUAGUUGGUUAGAGCAUGGUGCUGAUAAUGCCAAGGUCACAGGUUCGAUCCCCGUAUGGAACA